rnacentral:misc_RNA from 1 species
GACUUUCCAAUAAACCAAAUAAGCUGUCGAUUAAUGUGACUUAGCAAGUUUUAAUAAGAGGAAUACAAAUUCAAAAUGUCAUGUCCUGUGGCAUGUUGCUAAGUGCUUGCAUUGUGCUGCUUGCAACAUUCAAAAGUUGCAAAUACUCAUCCGCUCCGUCAACAAGACACUUGUCUGCUUCAGCAAAUUUCUUGCAUAUUCUUGCUUUUUGUUCAUCAGAAAUGUCGUCUGCAUCAACUAAUAUAUCAUACAACUGAGACAGCAUCUGAGAAACAGGAUAUCCUUCUGCAAUGACAUUGUUCACUUCUUUGUUUGCCAAGUCAAAAUUGCCACUUCUGCAAGCUGAGAAUAUAGCCUGAACAACUUCAUUUGGGAUGACCCCAGACACACUAAUCAGUUCCUUUGCUGAUAUGGAAGAUCCAAAUAACCGAGCAGCACUUUGUAAGUAUGUAAUAGCCCUUCGCAAAUCACCUUGAGAAAUUGAACUGAGGGUAGAAAGAGCCUCUGAAUCUAGAUUAAGACCUUCUUCUUUACAAAUAUGCAAUAUUCGGCUGCCCAUUAUUUCUUCAGGAAGUGGCUUGAAUCUGAACUUCGCACAUCUAGAAGCAAGUGGCUCUAUGAUCCUGCUGAUGUAAUUACAAAUGAAGAAGAAUCUUGUAACUUUUGAAUAUGUCUCCAUAGUUCGUCGCAAGGCAUUUUGAGCAUCUUGAGUCAUUGAAUCUGCUUCAUCAAGGAUUAUGAUCUUAAAAGGUGGGCAAGGAUAACCACUUUGCCGAUUAGAACCUACAGCAACAGCAGCAAAGUUCUUAAUUUUUGUACGAACUACAUUGAUACCACGGUCAUCACUAGCAUUUAGCUCCAAUACCCUCGAUUUAUACAGCUCAGGUCCGAAAAGCUGAUGGGCAAUGGCAAGAGCAGUGGUUGUCUUUCCAGUUCCAGGAGGACCAUAAAACAACAUAUGCGGGCAGUUAGAAGUCUCGAGAGUGUUGGUGAGGACUCGAACGACUUCAUCCUGGUGAGCUACAUCCUUCACUUGCUUCGGUCGAUAUUUCUCGACCCAUGGCUGAGAGCUCUGCAUAACUGGCGCCAUAGCUGUUCUCUUUCUUUUGUCAGAGUGCUG